GAGGCGGAGCUACCGGCGGGAGGAGAUGGAUCCAGCCUAGCUGCUCCCACAUGAGAUCGCCGCCGUUCUUGCAGACUGACCAGCGCCGCCAACUACUUCCGUUCCGAUCUCCGAACACACCGCUGAGGGCAACUUCAACUUUACCUCUACCGCUGACCAAAAACCACACAUGGAUAUCGAAACUGAUUCUGAUGAUGAUGAUGAAAAUAGGGAUGCUGAUUUCGAGAUCUUAGAGCAUCCACAUGUGGAGCAUGUACAAGAUAAUCAGGUCAACCAAAGGCAGGUUGUGUUGGAGGCUGGGUUGGAGCAUGUAGUGGCUACUCAAACACAAGCUAGUGUGACAAAUGUAGAGGUGAAUCAAAGAAAUGGUGCUGGUCCCUCAACAAACAAGCCAAGAAAACGCAAGAGCAGCCCCAAGAUGAAACCUAAGAGUACUGGAGAUGCAUUAGUUGGAGUCAUUGACCGGUUUGUCAACAUCAAAGAGAAAGAAGUCAACAAUGAAGCUGCUCAACAAUUCACCAUAAGCAAAUGCAUCGCUGCCUUGAGAACCUUGGAAGGUUUUGAUCCCGCUGAAAAACCAAAAGCCUUUGUGGUCUUCAAAAGUUUUGAUAAGCAAAUAUGAAUUCUUUUCUUCUUCUUUCUGAAUGUGAUGUGGAUAUAUGGUGUGAUAUUUGUCAUAUAGGAUUGUUUUAUUUGCGCCAUGAUCUGUUACUAUAUGCUAUUCACAGUAUACAUGACAUGGUAGAAGUAGCCGCUCCCUGUAGCUUUGUGACUCCCUGUAGUCACUUUGUUAUUAGUAGUCACUUUGUCCCAGACAUACCUGAUGGCAACAUUUGUUUGGGAACCUGCAACUGUGAAGACAUGAGCUGAGAUUCUUUGGUUGACAAGUAUAUCAUUGGAAUUGUUCAACUUACCCCCAUUCCUUGUUUCAACUGCCUGUACACUGAAAACAUUAAGUUUCAACCGGCUGUUGAGCUCACCUCUCCUGUACCAGUGCUUAAAUUCUUUGUCGGUUUAAUGUAUCAGAAUCAUACUUUGAUCCUAAUUUCUCAUGCAACCUAGGUUGUUUAUAUGUUGGUUUA